UAGGGAAUAUUAGAAAUGGACGAAAGUCUGAUCUAGCAACACCGCGUGUGCGAUGAAGGCCUUCGGGUUGUAAAGCACUUUUUGGAAGGAUUAGGAAGGAAUGUACUUCCAGAAUAAGUCUCGGCUAACUACGUGCCAGCAGCCGCGGUAACACGUAGGAGGCGAACGUUAUCCGGAUUUACUGGGCGUAAAGCGCGUGUAGGUGGUUCUGUAAGUAGGGCGUGAAAGCUCCUGGCUCAACUGGGAGAGGCCGUUCUAAACUGCAGAGCUAGAGGAUGGUAGAGGGAGGUGGAAUUCCGGGUGUAGCGGUGGAAUGCGCAGAUAUCCGGAGGAACACCAGUGGCGAAGGCGGCCUCCUAGACCAUUCCUGACACUCAGACGCGAAGGCUAGGGUAGCAAACG
rnacentral:rRNA from 1 species